AUUGAACGCUGGCGGCAGGCCUAACACAUGCAAGUCGAGCGAGCGGCGGACGGGUGAGUAAUGUCUGGGAAACUGCCUGAUCGAGGGGGAUAACGACUGGAAACGGUAGCUAAUACCGCAUACCAUCAGAUGUGCCCAGAUGGGAUAAGCUAGUAGGUGGGGUAACGGCUCACCUAGGCGACGAUCCCUAGCUGGUCUGAGAGGCUGACCGGCCACACUGGAACGGAGACACGGACCAGACUCCUACGGUAGGCAGCAGUGGGGAAUAUUUGACAAUGGUCGCAAGUCUGAUGCAGCCAGGCCGCGUGGAUGAAGAAGGCCUUCGGGUUGUAAAGUACUUUCAGCGGGGAGGCGUUACCUGCAGAAGAAGCAACGGCUAACUCCGUGCCAGCCGCCGCGGUAAUUC
rnacentral:rRNA from 1 species